rnacentral:tRNA from 1 species
UUAGGUGUGGCUCAGUGGUAGAGCGUAUGGUUAGCAGGAGCAGGGCCUUGGGUUCGAUUCCCAGCACCAAAG